UACGGAGGGGGCUAGCGUUGUUCGGAAUUACUGGGCGUAAAGCGCACGUAGGCGGCUUUGUAAGUCCGAGGUGAAAGCCUGGAGCUCAACUCCAGAACUGCCUUUGAGACUGCAUCGCUUGAAUCCAGGAGAGGUGAGUGGAAUUCCGAGUGUAGAGGUGAAAUUCGUAGAUAUUCGGAAGAACACCAGUGGCGAAGGCGGCUCACUGGACUGGUAUUGACGCUGAGGUGCGAAAGCGUGGGGAGCAAACAGG
rnacentral:rRNA from 1 species